rnacentral:lncRNA from 1 species
AGGAAAAGAAAAAGAGAACAUAUAUCCCCCUACCUUUUGAUUUCCAACAGUCUACUGAGAGGCCAAGAUUAUUUGCAGGGAAAGAAAAGGGGUCAAAAUGUUUUGCCAGUAACUCCCAAAUCAUCUACAGCCAAGGAGAAAAGUGUUUCAAGACAGAGGUGCUCAAUGGUAUCAAAUACUGCCAACAGACCAAGUAAUACAUGCAUUGAAGUGUCUACUGGAUCUAGCUAUAUGAAUUUUUAAUUUAGGACACUUAGGCCAUACUGAAGCAAGGUGACAAAAUGAAUAGCUACAAUGUCUCGUGAAUCUUGGGUUUCCAUUCACCCUGGUAUUCAAGAGAAAUUCUUGCAUCAUGGAAGUUGCAGUUGGAUAGGACUUUCUCAGCUGAACACUGUCAUCUGCCAGAGCUUCAGGCAAGAACCCAGAACAGAUGAAACCCCAGACAUGACAAAAUAAGCCAAAGAAUACCAGGCCAAGGUGUGAAAGGCCAGAUGAGAACAAGCAGCGUACACGAUUCUGUUGCCAACAGAUCUCCCCUAACAGUGUCGUGCACCAAAUUUCCACAGUGAAUGUCAGGAAAAAAUGGCAAUUGAGGUGGGUGGUCAAAAGAGAAGCACAGUCUAUGAUGAAGUCACCCCAGAGAAGUCCUUUUUCCGUUUUCUCCUGAGAAAUUACCAGAAGAAAUUAAAAUCCUUUUGAGUA